rnacentral:piRNA from 1 species
UCCUCCAAGUUAAUUCACAGAGGGCUUUUAGU